rnacentral:rRNA from 1 species
GAUGAACGCUAGCGGGAGGCUUAACACAUGCAAGUCGAGGGGCAGCACGAUGUAGCAAUACGUUGGUGGCGACCGGCGCACGGGUGAGUAACACGUAGGCAACCUACCCUUCAGUGGGGGACAACAGAGGGAAACUUCUGCUAAUACCGCAUACGGCCUUGUACUGGGAUGUACGAGGAGAAAGGAUUUAUUCGCUGAGGGAUGGGCCUGCGGCCUAUCAGGUAGUUGGUGGGGUAAAGGCCUACCAAGCCUGCGACGGGUAGCCGGACUGAGAGGUCGACCGGCCACACUGGAACUGAGACACGGUCCAGACUCCUACGGGAGGCAGCAGUGGGGAAUAUUGCACAAUGGGGGAAACCCUGGAUGCAGCGACGCCGCGUGGAGGAUGACGGCCUCGGGU